UGGGGAAUAUUGCACAAUGGGCGGAAGCCUGAUGCAGCGACGCCGCGUGAGGGAUGACGGCCUUCGGGUUGUAAACCUCUUUCAGUAGGGACGAAGCGUAAGUGACGGUACCUGCAGAAGAAGCACCGGCUAACUACGUGCCAGCAGCCGCGGUAAUACGUAGGGUGCGAGCGUUGUCCGGAAUUACUGGGCGUAAAGAGCUCGUAGGCGGUUUGUCACGUCGUCUGUGAAAUCCUAGGGCUUAACCCUGGACGUGCAGGCGAUACGGGCUGACUUGAGUACUACAGGGGAGACUGGAAUUUCUGGUGUAGCGGUGGAAUGCACAGAUAUCAGGAAGAACACCGAUGGCGAAGGCAGGUCUCUGGGUAGUAACUAACGCUGAGGAGCGAAAGCAUGGGUAGCGAACAGG
rnacentral:rRNA from 1 species